ACGCACGCUGGCGGCGUGCUUAACACAUGCAAGUCGAACGGAAAGGCCCUGCUUUUGUGGGGUGCUCGAGUGGCGAACGGGUGAGUAACACGUGAGUAACCUGCCCUUGACUUUGGGAUAACUUCAGGAAACUGGGGCUAAUACCGGAUAGGAGCUCCUGCUGCAUGGUGGGGGUUGGAAAGUUUCGGCGGUUGGGGAUGGACUCGCGGCUUAUCAGCUUGUUGGUGGGGUAGUGGCUUACCAAGGCUUUGACGGGUAGCCGGCCUGAGAGGGUGACCGGCCACAUUGGGACUGAGAUACGGCCCAGACUCCUACGGGAGGCAGCAGUGGGGAAUAUUGCACAAUGGGCGGAAGCCUGAUGCAGCAACGCCGCGUGCGGGAUGACGGCCUUCGGGUUGUAAACCGCUUUCGCCUGUGGCGAAGCGUGAGUGACGGUAAUGGGUAAAGAAGCACCGGCUAACUACG
rnacentral:rRNA from 1 species